rnacentral:rRNA from 1 species
UGUAAGCGUAUACCAAAGUUGUUGCAGUUAAAACGCUCGUAGUCGGAAUUUGGCAGUUCCGGAUGUGUGCAAGUCGUGUGCGCACUUCGCGGGGAUUGCUUUUGUGGUCUUGCGUAGGAUGAGGCACUUUUAUUAGUGAACGUCCUCACGCAACCACUUUUUACUGUGAGAAAAUCAGAGUGCUCAAAGCAGGCAUUUGCCGUGAAUGUAUUAGCAUGGAAUAAUAGAAUAGGACUUGGUUCUAUUUUGUUGGUUUGUUGGGACUGAGUAAUGAUUAAGAGGGACAGUUGGGGGCAUUUGUAUUUCGGUGCUAGAGGUGAAAUUCUUAGAUUACCGAAAGACAAACUGCUGCGAAAGCGUCUGCCAAGGAUGUUUUCAUUGA